GCGUCGGUAGUGUAGCGGUUAUCACCGAGCGUUGCCAACGCUCUGACUCGGGUUCGAAUCCCGGCCGACGCA
rnacentral:tRNA from 1 species